UACGUAGGGGGCAAGCGUUGUCCGGAAUUAUUGGGCGUAAAGCGCGCGCAGGCGGCUUUGUAAGUCUAGUGUUUAAACCUAGGGCUCAACCCUGGGUCGCAUUGGAAACUGCAAGGCUUGAGUGCAGAAGAGGAGAGUGGAAUUCCACGUGUAGCGGUGAAAUGCGUAGAUAUCUGGAGGAAUACCGGUGGCGAAGGCGGCAUCCUGGACCGGCAUUGACGCUGAGGAGCGAAAGCCAGGGGAGCAAACGGG
rnacentral:rRNA from 1 species